AAUUUAUACUGCGAAACUGCGAAUGGCUCAUUAUUUUAGUUAUCGCUUAUUUGAUAGCACCUUUUUACUCGGAUAACUGUGGUAAUUCUAGAGCUAAUACGUGCUGAAAUACCCAACUUCGGAAGGGUUGUAUUUAUUAGAUUAAAAACCAAUGCCCUUCGGGGCUUUCUGGCGAUUCAUGAUAACUUCUCGAAUCGCAUGGCCUUGCGCCGGCGAUGGUUCAUUCAGAUUUCUUCCCUAUCAACUUUCGAUGCGAGGGUAUUGUCCUCCCAUGGUUACAACGGGUAACGGAGGGUUAGGGCUCGACCCCGGAGAAGGAGCCUGAGAAACGGCUACUACAUCCAAGGAAGGCAGCAGGCGCGCAAAUUACCCAAUCCCGACACGGGGAGGUAGUGACAAUAAAUACUGAUACAGGGCUCUUUUGGGUCUUGUAAUCGGAAUGAGUACUAUUUAAAUCCCAUAACGAGGAACAAUUGGAGGGCAAGUCUGGUGCCAGCAGCCNCGGUAAUUCCAGCUCCAAUAGCGUAUAUUAAAGUUGUUGUGGUUAAAAAGCUCGUAGUUGAACCUUGGGCCUGGCUUGUCAGUCCCCCUCACCGGGUGCACUGAUCCAGCCGGGUCUUUCCCGCUGUGGAACCCCAUGUCCUUCACUGGUCGUGGCGGGGAAACAGGACUUUUACUUUGAAAAAAUUAGAGUGCUCCAGGCAGGCCUAUGCUCGAAUACAUUAGCAUGGAAUAAUAGAAUAGGACGCGUGGUUCUAUUUUGUUGGUUUCUAGGACCGCCGUAAUGAUUAAUAGGGACAGUCGGGGCCGUCUGUAUUCAAUUGUCAGAGGUGAAAUUCUUGGAUCUAUUGAAGACAAACUACUGCGAAAGCAUUCGGCAAGGAUGUUUUCAUUGAUAAGGAACGAAAGUUAGGGGAUCGAAGACGAUCAGAUACCGUCGUAGUCUUAACUAUAAACUAUGCCGACUAGGGAUCGGACGAUGUUAUUUUUUGACUCGUUCGGCACCUUUCGAGAAAUCAAAGUGCUUGGGCUCCAGGGGGAGUAUGGUCGCAAGGCUGAAACUUAAAGAAAUUGACGGAAGGGCACCCCCGGGGGGGGAACCUGCGGCUUAAUUUGACUCAACACGGGGAAACUCACCAGGUNCAGACACAGUGAGGAUUGACAGAUUGAUAGCUCUUUCUUGAUUCU
rnacentral:rRNA from 1 species